rnacentral:rRNA from 1 species
AAUAGAUACCCAGGUAGUCCACGCCGUAAACGAUGAGUGCUAGGUGUUAGGGGGUCCAACCCCUUAGUGCUGAAGUUAACACAUUAAGCACUCCGCCUGGGGAGUACGACCGCAAGGUUGAAACUCAAAGGAAUUGACGGGGGCCCGCACAAGCAGUGGAGCAUGUGGUUUAAUUCGAAGCAACGCGAAGAACCUUACCAGGUCUUGACAUCCUCUGACAACCCUAGAGAUAGGGCGUUCCCCUUCGGGGGACAGAGUGACAGGUGGUGCAUGGUUGUCGUCAGCUCGUGUCGUGAGAUGUUGGGUUAAGUCCCGCAACGAGCGCAACCCUUGAUGUUAGUUGCCAGCAUUCAGUUGGGCACUCUAACGUGACUGCCGGUGACAAACCGGAGGAAGGUGGGGAUGACGUCAAAUCAUCAUGCCCCUUAUGACCUGGGCCACACACGUGCUACAAUGGGCGGUACAAAGGGCAGCGAAACCGCGAGGUGGAGCCAAUCCCAUAAAGCCGCUCUCAGUUCGGAUUGCAGGCUGCAACUCG